UACCUGCAGCUCAAGUGGUGACCACUAUUAUUGGGCCUAAAACGUUCGUAGCCGGUUUAUUAAAUGCUUGGGUAAAUCGUGUAGCUUAACUAUACGAAUUCCGGGUAGACUGAUAGACUUGAGACCGGGAGAAGCUAGAGGUACUCCUGGGGUAGAGGUGAAAUUCUGUAAUCCUGGGGGGACCACCAGUGGCGAAGGCGUCUAGCUAGAACGGGUCUGACGGUGAGGAACGAAGCCCUGGGGCGCAAACCGGAUUAGAUACCCGGGUAGUCCAGGGUGUAAACGCUGCUUGCUUGAUGUUAGUUGGGCUCCGAGCCCAAUUAGUGUCGGAGAGAAGUUGUUAAGCAAGCUGCCUGGGAAGUACGAUCGCAAGAUUGAAACAUAAAGGAAUUGGCGGGGGAGCACAGCAACGGGUGGAGCGUGCGGUUU
rnacentral:rRNA from 1 species